rnacentral:rRNA from 1 species
UUUGACGUUAGCGGCGGACGGGUGAGUAACACGUGGGUAACCUACCUAUAAGACUGGGAUAACUUCGGGAAACCGGAGCUAAUACCGGAUAAUAUUUCGAACCGCAUGGUUCGAUAGUGAAAGGUGGUUUUGCUAUCACUUAUAGAUGGACCCGCGCCGUAUUAGCUAGUUGGUAAGGUAACGGCUUACCAAGGCGACGAUACGUAGCCGACCUGAGAGGGUGAUCGGCCACACUGGAACUGAGACACGGUCCAGACUCCUACGGGAGGCAGCAGAC